rnacentral:rRNA from 2 species
CACGCCGUAAACGUUGAGUACUAAGUGUCGGAAGAAUCCGGUGCUGCAGUUAACGCAUUAAGUACUCCGCCUGAGUAGUACGUGCGCAAGCAUAAAACUCAAAGGAAUUGGCGGGACCUCGCACAAGCGGUGGAUCAUGUUGUUUAAUUCGACGAUACGCGAAGAACCUUACCAGGCCUUGACAUACCGAGCAAAGCUAUGGAAACAUAGUGGAGGUUAACUGGGAUACAGGUGG